AGAGGAGAGGAGAGGAGAGGAGAGGAGAGGAGAGAAGAGAAGAGAAGAGAAGAGAAGAGAAGAGAAGAGAAGAGAAGAGAAGAGAAGAGAAGAGAAGAGAAGAGAAGAGAAGAGAAGAGAAGAGAAGAGAAGAGAAGAGAAGAGAAGAGAAGAGAAGAGAAGAGAAGAGAAGAGAAGAGAAGAGAAGAGAAGAGAAGAGAAGAGAAGAGAAGAGAAGAGAAAAGAGGGUGGCAGGGAUGUCUAGGUCCAUCUGGCCCAACCCCUGUGCAAGCAGGAACACCCAAAGCAGAUUGUCCAGGACUAUGUCCAGGUGGCUUUAGAAGAUCCCCAAGGAGAAGAUUCCACAGCCUCUCUGGGCACCCUGGACCAAUGCACCAUCACUUGCACAGUAAAGAAUAUCCUAAUAUUUAGAUGAAGCCCUGUGAUCCAGUUUGUUCCCAUAAUCUCUUGUCCUGUACCAUUGAAAAGAGACUGGCUCUGCCUUCUCUACAUUUGUCCUUCAGGUAUUUAUAGACAUUUAUAAGUUCCCCUCUGAGUCUUCUCUUCUUCAGGCAGAACAGUCCCAGCUCUCUCAGCUUCCCAUCACAGGAGAGGCUUUAAUUACUGUUUUUUGAUCAGCUGGCUAUACUGUGUUUAAUGCAUGCCAAAAUGCAGUGAGCUUUCUUGGCUGCUAGGGUGCACUGCAUAAAAUGACAAGGAAAGACAACAGGAAAAGUAGGAAAUAAAAAGAGAAGCACAGAGGGGAAAAAAAAAAGAAAGAAAAAAACCCUAGAAGAAAAGGCUGCUCACUGAAAUGUAGUGCUUAAUCAAGAUAAAUGAGCAAAAGUUUCAUAACACAAAUGAGAAAACUUGAGCAACCGCAGAAGUCACUCUCCUUGCUCUGCUACCAUGUGCUAAAUAACAUUACCAAGGUGUCCAAGUGGUUCCAGCAAAUUAAGGUGAGUUGUUGGCCAUUCAAAAAGAUAUUUCCCAAGAGAUUCAUGGCUGCGAGUACAGCAAGGGACUUAUUCAAUACUCCUAAGAUGUAAUGAAUUCAGUGGACACUCAGCAGCUCACUGAACUAGGCUUUAUACAAAAAGCAAUAUGAAGUAUGGUACAUUUUUUAGAACAGUUUCUUAAUCAUCAGUGGAGAUGAAAGAUUUCCUGAAAUAACUGUGAUGCACAUCACUUGCUUGUUUUGAAAAUUUCUGGUAGCCAAAACUGUAACAUACAUAUUCCACUCUGACUUAGUGGAGGAAAGGAGACCUCAUAUUACCCUUCAGUGGUGAAAUAUUCACUUUCUCAUAUAAGCAAUUGUCCUUUCUAGAGGACAGCAGGGACACAAAGGAGACUAGAGUAAAUUUAAUCAAACACAUACUACUGUUGUAGUUUAUUCUGUUUAAGACUUUGCUUUGAGACAGCCACAUGCUCUCAUUCUGAGACAAGUUAAAAUGAGCUGCAAAGACUAAUGUUGAUUGCUUUAGGACUUGAAUGUGCAUAGUACAUUAGAAUUAUGUGUUCUGAAAGCGCCAAUUCAUAUGAAUUUUUUUUUUUAGGGGGUGGAGUAGGCAGAGUGGGAGGAACAGAACAAAUUAAGACUAAUUCAGUGAUAUUCGUGUCUCCAAAAUGUACAAGCUACUGUGAAAUACAGACUUUAAAACUUCAAUAGAAAGAUAGUGUCAGCAGUUGCAUAUAGCUUUGAUAUUUUCCAGUAUAAUCAUGCAUGACAUGACAAAAAUUGCUAGCCAGAAGUAUGUAUAUACAUAUAUAUAUGUAUAUAUAUUGCCUGUACAAUAAGUUACAGAAACACUAUUGAAAAAGAAGAAGAAAAUUCUAUGUUUAUAUAGUGUAGCUGAGAUAACAGCUAGAAACUUAUUUCCCAUUUUAAGGCAUAUGAGGUAGAGACUUAAUACUAUAUAAAAGUAAUCUUACACUUUAAGACAAAGGGGGGAAAAAUCAUCCAUGUUUAUUACAGCCAACACUUCAGUUAAAUUUCAAUUUUAUUUUGAGAUAGGACGAUUCAUUACAGAGCAAGCCAGAAGAAACACUUUGAUUAUGACAGUUCAUAGAAAGUAUUUUCUGUGAAAGUAUUUUGUUUAUUUUCAGCUUGCUGUAAUUCAUACAUUGCGAAAUAUUGCUCUCUGUGUGAUACAGGUCACAUUCAAAGCUGACUACAAUCGAAAGGAAUUUGUAUGUCUAUAUCAGGUUUCCAUUGCCUUCAGAAAUUGUGGUUUAGUCUGGAAAUUGAUUUGGUUUUUUUGAGGCCAGCAUGUUUAUUUGUAUUGGUGUUGUGUGUUUUUAUUUUUAUUUAUUUAUUUAUUUAUUUUGGUAAAGGGGAGGAGUUUUUUGCUGUUAGUUAGUUAGCAGCUGACUACUGAUGAAGUAGGGUAUCAUCUCCUUGAAAAUUAUCACCUGCUCUUUCUGCACUAUAAGCUUACACUCUGAUGUGGGACAUAAAAAAUACAGCAUGGCUUACCACACGUUGGGUGCCUGAGCACGCCAACAGAUCAUAACUCCCUUGAUCACAUUCACCUGUGAGAUCCCACCAGGCACUCUUGGCUGGGUUCCCAGCCCUUGUCCAUGCUGUAUGCUAGGGAGCAGCACCCACAGGUCUGCUCUGCAAGGGGUAUGAGCAACGUGUUGAAGGGGCACAGUGUUAGAAAGAUGGGAGCUAUCUGCCUUUAGGGAGGAGGCCACUGUGUAACUGUCAGCAAGUCAGCAGUCCCAGAGAAGAGUAUGUGCAAGUGUAUGUAGAGUCUGAUGAGAGCUUUCUAUAAUCCUUCUCUCUCUGAGAUGAAUAAUAAGGUAUGAAUUCCUUUUUUAAUACUUAUCCUCAUAUUUUUUUCACACCAGAGCAUGAAUACACUGUAAUUUUUUCCUGUUCUUUAAUUUUGUCAGCUUGUAUUGUUGCUUGUACAAAGGCAAAAGUCAAUUCCAAUUAAAUAAAUAUAUGAAAUGUAUGAUGGGAGCAUUUCCACUUCUGUUGGAAAUGCUAUACUAAUAUUAGAAGGAGCUGAUGCUGUGGGACAUUUGCUGUUUUCUCAUUACCGUUGGUGGACAGAGUUCAUGAAUGCAGUACAGAGUUAAAAGUUUUGUCACUUUCAUAAUGGACUUAGAUUAUACUCUUUUUAAAACCCUGUUCUAAUUGCAUUUUUUUUCUAGUCUAAACUUCUCCAUUUAAAUUAAUAGAACAAUUUAUAUGAGGCUCAAGAUAUAAAUAUUUGAUGUUGGCUGUAAAAUGAGUAGGUUGUUGCCCUCCCUCUAAAAUGGUAUGAUUUCUGGUAAUAAAAUCACAUUUUCUGAAAAAUAUACAUAUAUUUUCUAUAUCUAAGCUUGUUGCCAGGCUCAUGUCAUAAAAAGGUUAAGAAAAGUACUUUUAAAAAUAUAACUAUGCUUUGUUACUUUAUUAGCUGCUUUAAUCAUGCACUCAUUAACUUGUCCAGAAUGUCCAUUUUUAUAAAAGGAAGAAUAUAAAAUGUCAUUCCUGACAGUAAUCUUGCUUAUAAAAUAAUACUGAUAACAAUUCUAGUUAGAAAUCCCAUCAUAUAUAUUUCCAUAAUAGUUGUUCUCAGGUCUGGAUCAGUAAAUCAUACUGGUAGAACCAGAGAAGCCAUUCUCAUUAUCAGAUUUAAUUUGGUUUAUUAAGCAUUUCCCUAUGGUCUUCUGAAACCUUUACACUAAUUUCUUAACUGACAGCACUGGUGUCAAGUGAUCUUGUGAUGAAAUUAAUUGCGAGUACUACAUUUCAGAUCCUCUCCCAUUUCCUGAUGCUUGCCAAGAAAGCCCAGGCUAAUGUUCUGAAAAAAAAAAAAAAAAAAAAAAAAAAGUCACUACAUACUGCAAACUUGUGCCAUCUAAAUACAACCCUGAUAGGUUCGUAAAGACUUUAUACUAAAGUCUUGCAUUCCAUACAUGAAAACUAAUAACCUAAAUAUUUCCCUAGCCAUUCUUUCUACAGAAACAUGGAGUUAUAAGAAACUUAAGAGGACUGUUUUUUAAGCCAGAAAACUCUCUCAGUUUCUGAGAGUCUCAGUAUUCCAGAGCCAAUUCUAUAUAUUGUUUAUUGCCUAGAUUGAUUUAAUGUAUGGUAACUGAUGUAAAUUUGUGUUGGCAUACAUGGCUCACAACCCGUGAAAACAGAGCUUCUCUUGUCAGUAUGCAUAAGGAGCACAUCUUUACAGAAGUAAUUUAUGCCAAAAUCCCUGCAUUUCAGAAUUUUUCUUAAAUAUACUGAAAGCAUAGAAAAAAUCUUGUAAUAGGUUCCAAGUUUUUAGCUAAUAUAAUAAAUGUGUGCAAAUCAACAACUAUUUUAAUUAAAUAUCAUUUAGAUAAUUUCUGUCACAUUUUCAUUAGUAUAUCCAUGACGUUAGCCUGCAAUAGCCUUCAACACAGUAAUAGCCUUAUUCUUUUAAAUAAUAAAUAAUUCACCUACCUUUGUCUCAUAUUUCUCUGAAGUCCUAAGCUUUACUUCCACCUCUGUACACGUGUGCUCAUCUGAGCUGCAUUUAAUUUUACUGAAGCAAGAAACAUUUAGAAAUAUUCAAGUUCUUCUGUGAUAUAUUUGUUCAGUGUAUCAAGAUAUUGACAUCUUGGUUCAGAGGUAGAAGAGAAGCUUGAUGAAACAGUCUUUUAUUCUAUACUCAUAGCUGUUUUUAUUUUUUUCUUUCUUUCUUUCUUUCUUCUCCCUUUGGUCUAAUUGUUUAUGACGUAUUUUUUCAAGGGGACAAAUUCCAGUCUUGACAAGGACAACUGCUGGAAUUCUGGAGUUGCAUCUACUACUGCUAGUCUCAGCUUGUGGCAUUUUAUAAUGUACUUCGUGGCAACUGAUGACAGCAUAUUUCCUUCUGAUGUGACUUGGAGAGAAUAAAACACGGAAUCAUACUGUGGCAGAGAGAGAAACAGGAAAUAGUCAAAGGUAUGGAUUAUUUCAGUAGAGGUCAAAGUUUUAGUACUCCUAAUUCAGAAGCAAUAUAAUUAGCCAACCUUAUUUCCAGGCGUCAGCUCAAGCACAAGACAGAGGACACACUAUAUGGAUAUCUCAAAGGUCAGUAGCAGGAAGAAAUGAGUAUGACGAACCAAUAGAGAGUGCAUUUUCAAGAAUAAGUUUUCUUCAGAAAUACUACUAGUUGUUUACUCUGUGCAUGAGACAGCUACUGCUGAUGAAAUAAUUCACCUUGUACAGACAUGAUCCAUUGUGUGGACAUGGUCUCAGCAUGUCUAGAGUUUUCAGAACAGAUGCUACUUUCUGGGGCUUCAAACAGCACUCACAUAAAGCUGAUAAUGAUUGUAUGAUAAAACAAGAAGUACUAUUUCGCUUUGUGAUUUUUUGUGUCCGUAAGCACUGAGAAUUGUCACUAGUCACUCUGAACAAUACAUUCUUCUUAGUUCCCACAAACUUUCCACUCUUUCUCAGGUUUUUCAAUCCUGCUCAUUCUGAAUAAGUGGAUACUAAAAUACUUCAGGUUGCCCUGUGCCAGUAUAUUGUCAUAAAAGACAGAUGGAAUAAGUAGCCGUGUCUUAAUCUAAUCACAGAGUUCAACUCCAUGCACUGGAAAGCUGAAGUUUGUUAUUUACUUACUGUAAGGCAGUCCAUUUUCUAUGUGGAACAUGUCAUGAUGCAUAUUAGUAAUUCCUUUGAAGAGUUAAAAAGGAAAAUAAACAUAGCUGGUGUGAGCAUGAUUCUGGAUUGACCAGAGAGUGUUCACCUGGGAGGCACAGACCAUGGUUUGUGUUCACUUUUGAUGGAUUUAACAUGGACUAAAAUCCCUUCUAGCCUCUUACUCAUUCAGUUCCCCAAUAUAACUGGAUGAGAGAAAAAAUGGGAUGGAAAGCCAGUAAGUUGAGAAAGUCAAAGAGACCACUUCCAACUACUAUGAUAGGCAAAGCAGAUCCACCAGUCUCCCCACUGCCAAAACCUGGGCACAAGUUCCCAUAAAAUUCACUUAGCAUGAGACACUUAAACGUUCCAGUUCAAAACAGAAGUUUUGAUACAGUAAACUCUAAGACUGGGCAGCUGAUGAAAUUGUCACCACUCAGCAAUGGGAAGAAUUUGAAAAAUCUAAGGAAAUACACAUUUAGGAAUCACUUUUUAUUCAGUCUUCUAGUCUACUGCUGAAGAUUUUUUUAUUUUAUUUUUCAGUGUGCUUUAAACAGAUACAUCCAGAGAGAAUGACUGUAGGUAAGACUUAACUCUGUGCCUAAUGUAGAACAUGACAGACAAUAGGGUUUCAGUUCCGUGUGGAUGUACUCAAGGGAGGGAAAAAGCCUCUCCCUAAGGUGUUCAGCUGGAAGUGACUGAAGGACUUGGAGGACUGUUUCUCAUGUCACCAGAAGAAUGCUCAAUGCAAUUCACAAGAAAUAAUAACCUCUACUCCAAAUGUGUUUAUUGGAAAAAAAAAAAAAUAGAGACAUGAAGAAUGUUAAGAGAAAAAAUAUUUUUUAUAAGUAGAAUUAUUUUUAUCAGCUUUCCUAGAAGCAACACAGAAUUUCUUGAUUAGAAGGAACAGGAAUUAAAACUUGUGUUCAUGGUCUACAUUCAGCAAUUCCAAAAGCAAGCAUUUAGCUUUCCAUUUUGGUGUAAAAGCUUGUGUGGAACAGAACUGAUUUUCUUCAUAGUGUCUGGUGUGAUUCUGUAUUUUGUCUAUAGGAGAAAAACAAUGUUGAUGAUACACCAGUGUUUUAGUUGUUGCUGAGCAGUGCUGUACAGAGCCAUGAACCUUCCGGUUUUUCAGCUUCUCAUGCUGUCGUGCCAGCAAGGCGCUGGGACAGCAUAAGAAGCUGGGAGGGGACAGGGCCAGCACAGCUGACCUGAAGUGGCCGAAGAGAUAUUCCGUACCAUAAGAUGUCAUAUGGAAAAACUAUAAAACUUAAAGUAGUUGGCUGGGGGAGAACCACUGCCUUGACACUGGGGACCGGCUUAGCAUUGACUGACAGGUGGGGCUGUUUCACCAAAAAAAAAACCAAACAAACAAACAAACAAAAAAACUUUCUACUCAAAGUAUUUGAAACACUGCAUCCAGAAGUACUGCCAUCGGGAGUAGUGCAUCCAGGACUUGGGCGCACAGCACAACGAAGACUUGGAACAGUUGGAGUGGGUCCAGAGGAGGGCUGUGAGGACGAUUACAGUGCUGAAGCAUUUCCCUUAUAAAGAAAGGGUGACUUGUUUAGCCUGGAAGAAUAGAAAACUUGGGGAGAACUCCCAGCUUUCAAGUACUUGAGUGGAGCUUAUAAGCAGGAGGGAGACCAGUUUUUUACAAGUUCUGAUAGUAAGAUAUCAAAAUAUAUAUCAGAAUAUCAAAAGAUAUGAUAAGACAAGGGGGAAUGUUUUUAAACUAAAACAGGAGAGAUUUACAUCAGAUAUUAGGGAGAAAUUUUUCAGUGAGAGGAGGUUGAGGCACUGGAACAGAUGGUCAAGAGAAGCUGCGGAUGCUCCAUUCCUGGAGGCAUUCAAGGUCAAGUUGGAUGGGGCCCUGGGCAGCCUGAGCUGGUGGGUGGCAACCCUGUCCACAGCAGGAGGGUUGGAACUGGAUGAGCUUUAAGAUCCCUUCCAACCAAAGCCAUUCUGUGAUCCUAUGAUUCUUCUCAUCUCAUUGGAUUCCAGAACUAAGAGAGAGCAUCAAAAAAGAAGACAAAGGGAUUUCUCAGAUAGUCAGAAAUGUUGCAAAACAGCAUAUCUAAAUGAAAUCACCUAGUCAGAAUAUAUAUUGACAAGAUAGAAGUACAGAUUUUACUUUCCCAGCACGUUUUCUAAAUGAAAAAAUUCAAGUCAGUAGAUAACCAAAAAAUAGAUGCUGUUUUCUGCAACAAACAAACAAACAAACAAAUAAAUAAAUAAAUAAAGCUUGA
ensembl:lncRNA